UACGUAGGGUGCGAGCGUUAAUCGGAAUUACUGGGCGUAAAGCGUGCGCAGGCGGUUAUAUAAGACAGAUGUGAAAUCCCCGGGCUCAACCUGGGAACUGCAUUUGUGACUGUAUAGCCAGAGUACGGCAGAGGGGGAUGGAAUUCCGCGUGUAGCAGUGAAAUGCGUAGAUAUGCGGAGGAACACCAAUGGCGAAGGCAAUCCCCUGGGCCUGUACUGACGCUCAUGCACGAAAGCGUGGGGAGCAAACAGG
rnacentral:rRNA from 1 species